AUCCUUUUCAGCUUUAUCAGUAGGAUGAUUGUGUGUUCACACAUUUGUUUGAUGUGCCUCCCUUAAAUCUUGUAUGACAUAGGCACAUUGCCCAUCUGACA